rnacentral:rRNA from 1 species
AUUGAACGCUGGCGGCAGGCUUAACACAUGCAAGUCGAGCGGUAGAGGGGAGCUUGCUUCCCUUGAGAGCGGCGGACGGGCGAGUAAUGCCUAGGAAUCUGCCUGGUAGUGGGGGACAACGUUCGGAAACGGACGCUAAUACCGCAUACGUCCUACGGGAGAAAGUGGGGGAUCUUCGGACCUCACGCUAUCAGAUGAGCCUAGGUCGGAUUAGCUAGUUGGUAGGGUAAAGGCCUACCAAGGCGACGAUCAGUAACUGGUCUGAGAGGAUGAUCAGUCACACUGGAACUGAGACACGGUCCAGACUCCUACGGGAGGCAGCAGUGGGGAAUAUUGGACAAUGGGCGCAAGCCUGAUCCAGCCAUGCCGCGUGUGUGAAGAAGGUCUUCGGAUUGUAAAGCACUUUAAGUUGGGAGGAAGUUCAGUAAGUUAAUACCUUGUUGAAUUGACGUUACCGACAGAAUAAGCACCGGCUAACUCUGUGCCAGCAGCCGCCGUAAAAC